UACGUAGGGUGCAAGCGUUGUCCGGAAUUAUUGGGCGUAAAGAGCUUGUAGGCGGUUUGUCGCGUCUGCUGUGAAAUUUCGGGGCUCAACCCCGAACUUGCAGUGGGUACGGGCAGACUAGAGGGUGGUAGAGGCGAGUGGAAUUCCCGGUGUAGCGGUGAAAAUGCGCAGAUAUCGGGAGGAACACCAAUGGCGAAGGCAGCUCGCUGGGACGGUACUGACGCUGAGGCGCGAAAAGCUAGGGGAGCAAACAGGGAUUAAGAAACCC
rnacentral:rRNA from 1 species